rnacentral:rRNA from 1 species
CGUAGGGGACGAGCGUUGUCCGGAUUCAUUGGGCGUAAAGCGCGCGUAGGCGGCUCGGAAAGUCGGGCGUGAAAUGCCGGGGCUCAACCCCGGGACUGCGUCCGAUACUUCCGAGCUGGAGGUAGGUAGGGGAGAUCGGAAUUCCUGGUGUAGCGGUGAAAUGCGCAGAUAUCAGGAGGAACACCGGUGGCGAAGGCGGAUCUCUGGGCCUUACCUGACGCUGAGGCGCGAAAGCUAGGGGAGCGAACAGGAUUAGAUACCCUGGUAGUCCUAGCCGUAAACGUUGGGUGCUAGGUGUGGGUGGACAUCGACCCCAUCCGUGCCGAAGCUAACGCAUUAAGCACCCCGCCUGGGGAGUACGGCCGCAAGGCUA